AUUGCAGCCUGCAGGUAUCUCUUUCUAUCUUUCACUUGUGUAGUCCCCUUAAUAGGAUCCGGUAUUAAAAAAAUUAAACACUUUAUUUGUUGUUUUGUAUACUGUGAAAUGAAUGACUUUCAGGUGAAAAGGGAAGAUUAAAUCAAAUAGUAGAUAAAGAUCUAAUGGGAGAGUGACUUAUUUAAAUGGGAAGAAAUUGUCCAUGUUGCACUCAUGUGUAGACAUAUUUUAGAUUCAGAAAAACUAGCACUCAUUAUCAGACAUGAAAACAAAUGAGUAUAUGCCAACAAUGGUGGUGUUGACAAGACAAAAGUGGCCAACAUUAUUGUACGCAGAGAGGGAUCAAUGGUGCUUUUACUUCUACUUCAUUUGAAAGAUCAAGGAUGUGAAUUUUGACGUAUCAAUUUAUAUUUAGCUAGUUUUGUGA